UACGAAGGGGGCUAGCGUUGCUCGGAAUCACUGGGCGUAAAGCGCACGUAGGCGGAUUGCUAAGUCAGGGGUGAAAUCCUGGAGCUCAACCCCAGAACUGCCUUUGAUACUGGCGGUCUCGAGUCCGGGAGAGGUGAGUGGAACUGCGAGUGUAGAGGUGAAAUUCGUAGAUAUUCGCAAGAACACCAGUGGCGAAGGCGGCUCACUGGCCCGGUACUGACGCUGAGGUGCGAAAGCGUGGGGAGCAAACAGG
rnacentral:rRNA from 1 species